ACUAAGCGUACAAGGUGGAUGCCUUGGCAAUCAGAGGCGAAGAAGGACGUGCUAAUCUGCGAAAAGCUUGGAUGAGUCGAUAAGAGGCGUUUAAUCCAAGAUAUCCGAAUGGGGAAACCCAGUAGAUGAAGAAUCUACUAUCAACAAGUGAAUUCAUAGCUUGUUGAGGCAAACCGGGAGAACUGAAACAUCUAAGUACCCCGAGGAAAAGAAAUCAACCGAGAUUUCGUCAGUAGCGGCGAGCGAAAGCGAAAGAGCCAGUAAGUGAUAGCAGUAUAGUGAGGAGAAUGUGUUGGGAAGCACAAUCAAAGAGGGUGAUAAUCCCGUAUCUAAAAACCAUAUUGUGGUACUAAGCUAACGAGAAGUAGGGCGGGACACGUGAUAUCCUGUUUGAAGAAGGGGGGACCAUCCUCCAAGGCUAAAUACUCCUGAUUGACCGAUAGUGAACCAGUACUGUGAAGGAAAGGCGAAAAGAACCCCGGUGAGGGGAGUGAAAUAGAACCUGAAACCUUGUACGUACAAGCAGUGGGAGCCCCAUCACUUAAUCCGAUUGGAAGGUGAUGAAAAGCAACCGCACUUAAACAAUGGUAAGAGGAGCGAAGCGAGUCAAACCACCCAAAAGAAGCAGUGGGAUUAAGUGAUGGGGUGACUGCGUACCUUUUGUAUAAUGGGUCAGCGACUUAUAUUUUGUAGCGAGGUUAACUGAAUAGGGGAGCCGAAGGGAAACCGAGUCUUAACUGGGCGAGUAGUUGCAAGGUAUAGACCCGAAACCCGGUGAUCUAGCCAUGGGCAGGUUGAAGGUUGGGUAACACUAACUGGAGGACCGAACCGACUAAUGUUGAAAAAUUAGCGGAUGACUUGUGGCUGGGGGUGAAAGGCCAAUCAAACCGGGAGAUAGCUGGUUCUCCCCGAAAUCUAUUUAGGUAGAGCCUUGAGGUGACACCUUUGGGGGUAGAGCACUGUUUCGGCUAGGGGGCCAUCCCGGCUUACCAACCCGAUGCAAACUACGAAUACCAAAGAGUGAUACUCAGGAGACACACGGCGGGUGCUAACGUCCGUCGUGGAGAGGGAAACAACCCAGACCGCCAGCUAAGGUCCCCAAGUCUAUAUUAAGUGGGAAACGAAGUGGGAAGGCUUAGACAGCUAGGAUGUUGGCUUAGAAGCAGCCAUCAUUUAAAGAAAGCGUAAUAGCUCACUAGUCGAGUCGGCCUGCGCGGAAGAUGUAACGGGGCUGAAAUAUAGCACCGAAGCUGCGGCAUCAG
rnacentral:rRNA from 1 species